rnacentral:rRNA from 1 species
GAUUAGUGGCGAACGGGUGAGUAUCACGUGAGUAACCUGCCCUUGACUCUGGGAUAAGCCCGGGAAACUGGGUCUAAUACCGGAUAUGACCAGUCACCGCAUGGUGUGCUGGUGGAAAGCUUUAGCGGUUUUGGAUGGACUCGCGGCCUAUCAGCUAGACGGUGAGGUAAUGGCUCACCGUGGCGAUGACGGGUAGCCGGCCUGAGAGGGUGACCGGCCACACUGGGACUGAGACACGGCCCAGACUCCUACGGGAGGCAGCAGUGGGGAAUAUUGCACAAUGGGCGCAAGCCUGAUGCAGCGACGCCGCGUGUGGGAUGACGGCCUUCGGGUUGUAAACCACUUUCAGCAGGGAAGAAGCUUUUUGUGACGGUACCUGCAGAAGAAGCGCCGGCUAACUACGUGCCAGCAGCCGCGGUAAUACGUAGGGCGCGAGCGUUAUCCGGAAUUAUUGGGCGUAAAGAGCUCGUAGGCGGUUUGUCACGUCUGCUGUGAAAGCCCGGGGCUUAACCCCGGGUGUGCAGUGGGUACGGGCAGACUGGAGUGCAGUAGGGGAGACUGGAAUUCCUGGUGUAGCGGUGAAAUGCGCAGAUAUCAGGAGGAACACCGAUGGCGAAGGCAGGUCUCUGGGCUGUUACUGACGCUGAGGAGCGAAAGCAUGGGGAGCGAACAGGAUUAGAUACCCUGGUAGUCCAUGCCGUAAACGUUGGGCACUAGGUGUGGGGAACAUUCCACGUUUUCCGCGCCGUAGCUAACGCAUUAAGUGCCCCGCCUGGGGAGUACGGCCGCAAGGCUAAAACUCAAAGGAAUUGACGGGGGCCCGCACAAGCGGCGGAGCAUGCGGAUUAAUUCGAUGCAACGCGAAGAACCUUACCAAGGCUUGACAUACACCGGACCGCCCUAGAGAUAGGGUUUCCCUUCGGGGCUGGUGUACAGGUGGUGCAUGGUUGUCGUCAGCUC